UUAGUGACCUUGCAUAUUGACAUCAGCAGUUGCCCCAAUUUUGUAUCUUUUCCAAAAGGAGGAAUUCGUGCCCCCAACCUUUCAUCCUUUACGGUCUUCAAUUGUGAGAGUCUGAGGUCACUACCAGACAAGAUGGAUGUACUCCUUCCUUCUCUUAAUUAUUUUCAUAUACGUCACUGCCAGAGAAUUGAGUCGUUUCCUGAAGGGGGCUUGCCUCCCAAUGUUAAAUAUAUGGAUGUCGAGAGAUGUGACAAACUCUUUGCCAGACGGGCGGGAUGGGGUUUGCAAAAACUCCCAUCUCUUAGAGAAUUUUCAGUCGGUGGCAACUAUGAAGACGUGGAGUCCUUUCCAGAGCCAGGGUUGCUGCCCUCUUGUCUGACUCAACUUCGUAUCUCUGGAUUUCCAAAUAUGAAAUCUUUGGACAAGAAAGGGCUUCAAGACCUCACCUCUCUUCAACAAUUGUGGGUCUGGGGCUGCCCUAAGCUCGAAUACAUUCCAAAAGAGGGGUUGCCUACCUCCCUUUCUAUAAUAGAGAUCGAAGGAUGCCCUUUGUUGAGGAAACAGUGGCAAAGCAAGAAAGGAAAAGAUCAGCGAAAGAUUCCGGACGUCGAUCACAUAUUGAUUGAUUUUGAAGAAUAUAUUGGAUGAGCCAAAAGCCUCGGAAGAGUCCCAUUUUCUAUUAUAAUACCUGUAGAUCAUCUCGAAGGCGGCAAGAACAUAUUCACUUAGGUUCACCUUCCAUUGUUAUAUGCUUAGAAUUGAAAAUUUUUCGCUACUGUCGGCCCUAGUGGGAAGGAAAUGAAUGGCGAAAGAUUCCUAAUGUCGAUCACAUACUGAUUGAUGGGGUGAAUAUAUUGGAUGAGCUAAAAGGCGACAACAACAUAUUCAGCUUUUGCACUUAGACAUUUCAAUUAUUCAACUUGUUCUAUGUUGACCUGUUGAGCUAGCUUGUUCUGUGGUGCGAAAUCAAGAUCAUGGGAAAUUUUGGAACUUCUAGAUUUGCUGAAGGUAAUCAUUGGAAGCAGAUGAUUUUUUGUGACUACUGCAUGGUUCCUGUUAAGAUGGAUGAUGUUUUUGGUAACAAAAAACUACAGCCGGAUGUUAGAGAAAUGGAAAUCUUAUAUCGUUUGUCAUCUAGGGACCCUUUGAAGCUCUCCAAGAGGUGGAAGCUUACCAUAUAUCAGAAUCAUCCUUAAUUCUUACACAUUCACCAUCUAUUCUCGGCCUUGUUGACAUGGUAUGAAUUUCACCCUCAUUCAAGUAGGUGGGCCCCGCUGGUUUUGUAAGUCCUUGUGUGGGUUUUGGUCUGAUUUCUAGUAAGAGAGAAAAAUAGAAGGGUGCUAAAGUGAGAAAAUAGAAAAAUAGAGACCAACCUUCAUUUGUUUUCAGCAAAAGAAGAAUUUGUAUUUCUGUCUUUCGGAGAAUAAUCUCUAUUGUGUAAUAGUGAGAUUUGGGUGUAUUGGGGCUUUGGGUUCUGAGUGAUUUUUUUUUUUUUUUUUUUUCUUCUACUAUUUUGUAUUCCGUCUUUUGAUAGUGAAUUU